GGGUCAGUAGGUUGGUCGUGCCACCGGUACGUACUGGUCUCACUGAUUCCUCCUUCCUGAAGAACCGUAAUGCCAUUAAUUUGGUGUUGCGGGGAAACAGGACUGUUACUUUGAAAAAAUUAGAGUGUUUAAAGCAAGCUAACGCUUGAAUACAUUAGCAUGGAAUAAUGAAAUAGGACGAUCGAUCCUAUUUGUUGGUUUCUAGGAUUGACGUA
rnacentral:rRNA from 1 species